AUUUCUGCGGACAACACCAAUUUAUUGAUCGUAAAAAUCGAAUCAAUAGGUACUCUCACCUAAUUAUGAACUUCUCCUUCUAAGCUCACUAGUUUCGAUGCUCAAACUUGGAGUAAGAGGGAAAUUGUCUAUUUGAGAGAGAAAUAUUGGAAUUACAUGCUUUACUCUUCAAAAAUGGUGGUAUUUAUAGAUUUUCCUCUUCAAAGUUGUAUUGCCUAGACUUUGCUUGGGUCAGUAGGAACUACUUUCUGACGGAUUACAUGGUCUAAGUACUUAAUCUGUAGCUGUCCAAAAUUGCACUUGGACUAUUUAUCAUACAAUUGGUGCUUUUGUAAUAUCUUUACAGUGUAGAUGAUAAUAAUGGGCUGACAAGCCAGGGCUGUAUACUAGUAUGUCAUCAAAAAAUUAAAAAAUACAAGCACAUAGCUUCUUAGUUGAUCCUUUAACACUUAAUUCAUAAGGCUUUCAAAGUUAGUAGGUGCAUUGGUGAGACGAAAGGGCAUCAAUCUUGGAAUAGUACUUUAACCCAUUGCGUUCAUCUAGUAAUUCUUCAAUGAGUAGGUAUGGGAAAUUUAUCCUUGAUUUUUAUGUUAUUUAGUUGCAUAUAAUCUACGCAAAAUCUCCAUGACCCAUCCUUUCUCUUGACUAGGAAAAUGGAUUGUUGCUGGAUUGGAUGAUUCCACUAUCAAGCAUUUCUUUGACCAAUUCCCUGUUUUUGUCUUCUGGAUAAAUGGGCAUCUAUAUGGCCCGAUUAUGAACGGUUGAGCUCCU
rnacentral:lncRNA from 1 species